rfam:Erinaceus europaeus unplaced genomic scaffold scaffold00001, whole genome shotgun sequence
GUGCUCGCUUUGGCAGCACAUAUACUAAACUUGGAAGAAUACGGAGAUUUGCAUGGUCCCUACACAAGGAUGAUAUGCAAAUUCAUGAAGCGUUCCAUAUUAAA